rnacentral:rRNA from 1 species
UACGUAGGUUGCGAGCGUUGUCCGGAUUUAUUGGGUUUAAAGGGUGCGUAGGCGGCUUUGUAAGUCAGUGGUGAAAUAUGUCAGCUCAACUGAGAGGGUGCCAUUGAUACUGCGGAGCUUGAGUACAGAUGAGGUAGGCGGAAUUGACGGUGUAGCGGUGAAAUGCUUAGAUAUCGUCAAGAACACCUAUAGCGAAGGCAGCUUACUAGGCUGUAACUGACGCUGAGGCACGAAAGUGUGGGGAUCAAACAGG